rnacentral:rRNA from 1 species
AGCAGCCGCGGUAAUUCCAGCUCCAAUAGCGUAUAUUAAAGUUGUUGCAGUUAAAAAGCUCGUAGUUGAAUUUCGGGGUUAGUAGGUUGGUCAUGCCUCUGGUAUGUACUGGUCUCACUGAUUCCUCCUUCCUGAUGAACCUUAAUGCCAUUAAUUUGGUGUUUUGGGGAAUUUGGACUGUUACUUUGAAAAAAUUAGAGUGUUUAAAGCAAGCUAACGCUUGAAUACAUUAGCAUGGAAUAAUGAAAUAGGACGUUCGAUCCUAUUUUGUUGGUUUCUAGGAUUGACGUAAUGAUUAAUAGGGAUAGUUGGGGGCGAUUAGUAUUCAAUUGUCAGAGGUGAAAUUCUUGGAUUUAUUGAAGACUAACUACUGCGAAAGCAUUUGCCAAGGAUGUUUUCAUUAAUCAAGAACGAAAGUUAGGGGAAUCGAAGACGAUCAGAUACCGUCGUAGUCUUAACCAUAAACUAUGCCGACUAGGGAUCGAUGAUGUUAAUUUUUUAAUGACUUCAUUCGGNGCCU